UACACUUUAGUUUAGGAAGAAUUUUUAUUUUUGGUGUAAAAGGGUGUAGUGUAG
rnacentral:tRNA from 1 species